UGAAGAUUUAACAGUAUUUUUCAAGUAGUCGAAUCCCUAUCUAUAUAUAUCCACAGUUUUAUAGUUUUGGGAUAAAUAUCAACUAGUCAUUUAUGCGGUAUUAAUAGUUCCCCACAAUUUGUGUUAUUUCAAAUUUUAUGUGAGUAUUUAGUUAUAUUACAAUGCUUCUGUACCCUGAAGCGUAUUGGAAACAUAACAUACAAUCAACAGCAACUCACUAGAGUAUUAACACCUCUCUUCACUCUUUCAUCGGACGCUGUUUCACGAAGAACGUUGCAGGCGCCAAAAUGCCCUGUGAGAACGAGCACGAAGCCAAACAACACGAAACUGACGGACAACAUAUUAAUAUUGUGAACCUUCUUCUGCGGCAACU